CAAAUUCCUCAAAAUGACGAAUUCUAGGUCUUGUAUUUCUACAAUUCGUAAAAUUAAUGCUGUAUUUCUUUUUCUUCUUUUUUUUUCUUUGAAAGGAACAAUAUAAUUUAUAUGAGGAACAUUCGGAGAAAAGAGACCAUAAAAGAGAACAGUGAAUUGAGUAAAUUGAGUAUUUGGAGAACCUUUAUCUCCAAUCUUUUAAUAUUUAUCACGGUUUUAGUUGAUAAUUAUAAUUGAAGGUAGAGAAUUGUAUCGUUAUACAUGUAAUAAUUAUCAAAUAGAUGAUGAUUUUAUGGUAAUUCAACUAAAUUGUAAUAGAAACCGAUGGUGGUCGUGGUUGGCGGUAUUGUGAUGUUGAUAAUGGAUGAUUGUAAAUAAUACUUGCUUAAAAAAAUUCACCAUGCAUAGAAGUACCUUACGAUAUUAUUAGUUCAGUAAUGAAGCAAUUUCUAAUUUCAGCUAGUACUUUUGAAGUACCUUUGAAUGGAACGUUUAAGAAACAGUGUUCUCACAGUACUUAAAAUUACCGUGAUUUUACACGACCUUAACUGCUAGCUAAACCACAAUAAUUCUAAUAAGAACAUACGGAACAUAUAUUAGAAACAGAGGAAAACCUUAAAACAGCCAAUCGAAACGAGAUCGCACAAUUCCAGAUCAGUUGGGUGAAUAAAAAUGGUAAGAAUCAGGCAAGCAAGACUCGGAUAUUUCCGCGGAAAUGAACGUCUAUAGCCGGAUAUCGAGAAAUUCAUCUCUCGGAUCCUCGUUUCCUCUUCGAGGCUCGAGCAACCUGAAAUCGACGAGUCCGACAAUCAGAUUACUCGUGGCCGACCAAAGUUCAAGAUUCCAGCGCGGCCUGCACGGUAUAGGCGCAGAGGCGCGUGAAAUUUGUGUCUGCGUCAGGCACGAUCGCGCGUCCCGCCGCCGCGUUCCUGUCAAUAACAGUUUCCACGAACGCAUAAUCGCAAUAUUCUCCGAAAGAUCCUAAACUUAGAUAGACGAAACAAGGUUCAGCAGGUAGAGGGAUCUAAACGGACGUAAGUAAUGCACGGCGGAGAGGCCGGAGUAAGAAAAAGAGAGAACGAGAGUGUGCAGACGAUAUAAAGGAACAAAUGAGUUUCGUGAUCGUACCAGAGCCCGAUCUUGUCUUGGGUUAAUCGAGCAACGCCGUAGAAAACGAGCAGAACAAGCUCGGGUUCCUGGCAGGGUGAGUCCGAGCACAGCCGACGAUGAGAGAGGAGAGAAUGACGAGGGUGAAUAAUGUUUCGCGUCCAAUUCGAACGGUCAGAGACAAACUUUUGCAUUGUGCAACGCAUAAUAUACAGAACGGGAUAUCCUCUGUUCUCCUCGUCGCCCUUUAUCGCUGGCAAACUUUGCCCUUUCUCUCGUUUCUUGCACCCUGAAAGCGCGCGCCCGCGCGCCGUGGUCUUUUCAAUCUCGAUGAGAUUAAGUUGUACCCGUGGCAGUCUAUCGCACGGCUACGCCGUAGCAUUGUUUACGAGGAGGUAAGAGGCCACGAAUCGUGCUCGUGCCAGCUAGCGAGGAUAUAUUUAUUCGUACGUUAAAAUGUCGGCCUCGAGACGAUCAAGAAGUUUCCUUGAAGCCAGCAGGCGGUUAGACGCGAGUCGCGUUUAAGGGUUCCGCUGGUAGCGCGAACCGAUUCGACGCCGAUAAUAAUUUGCAUUCGCCGAUAGCGAACUAGGACACGGUACAGGUGCAGUAACAAAGGGAAGAAAGUCGGACAGAUAUGUACGUUAGCGCGUGGUAAAUCAUCUUCGACGGUUAGCGCGGAUUAUAAUUAGAAGAGCCGCGGAUUCGAAACAAUACGUACGAAAGCGUAGGAAUAAUUAAUACUCUGAAAGUGGACGUGUUUCCUCGGUUUCGCGAUCGAACGCAGCAGGUUCGACGAUCGGCCUCUAUGAGAAGGCUUAUCUAAACUUUAUCGGGCGUACUGGCGAUACGAAUAAUUCACGUUUGACAUUUCAGCGAGCGAGGGAGCGAGCAAACGGGGCCGUAUUCUAACCGUGGCCGCUUGAAAACGCUUAUUUACAUUCUAUUUUUCAGCAAUAGACCCUGACGUAGUAAAACGAUGCAUUAUCGAGGCCUGUACUUUAAGUACGUUUACCUCGCCGCACGGGAUGUAGGUUGCCUUUUAGAUCGGCCGACCUCUUUUCUCUAUGGCCAUUUUUACGGAAACGAAAUUCACAGAGUGGGCAGAGCCGAUUCCUAGCCUCAGAAGUUCAUCCACCGUGUAGCCGAGGUGCUAUUGUUCCAGAACCAGCCAAAGGAGACGAGACGAGAAGCGCAGGAGAAGGAGGAAGAAGAAGUUAGCGAACGAGGUGGAGGAGGAUGCUAUCGAGAAAGAGGUGUAUCUAAGUACACGUACACGUGUACACAUGGAAGAAAAGUAGGCCUUUACUGCGGAGUUCAAACGAUUCUUACGCAUCACCAGCGCGCACGCGUACACGUUAAUUUCAAUCGGCGGCGCGCAAACUUUUCGUUACAGUCUAUUUCGCAAGCCCGCCGCCAACUAAAGGUCAUCGACGCUCCGGCGAUUCCUGAUAAUUAUUCACGCUAAGAUUGUUAUCGUUUCGUGGGCCACUCUGGAGAAGUCACUCGCAGGAUACGUUUCUCGCCAUCUUCUUUUUCGCGAGCCGCCUUUUUAUUCAAUAGGUAAAAUUGGUAGAUAAAAUAGUAGUCGAAUACACUUCCUUCUUGGAACUCAGGCAUACGGUAAGUUCGAAGUGGAAAGGGAAGUUUGUCAUUUUUUGUGUUGUAUUGUGUUUUUUAUAAUAGCCAGUGUACAAACGCAUAAGCAAUAGGAAAUAAAAAGAAAAAGCAAGGAGGAAAAUUGUA